GAUGAACGCUAGCUACAGGCUUAACACAUGCAAGUCGAGGGGCAGCAUGAACAAAGCUUGCUUUGUUUGAUGGCGACCGGCGCACGGGUGCGUAACACGUAUCCAAUCUGCCCGCGGCUCGGGGAUAGCCCAUCGAAAGAUGGAUUAAUACCCGAUGGUGUGGUUUCUCCGCAUGGGGUUUCCACUAAAGGUUUUCCGGCCGCGGAUGAGGAUGCGUAUGAUUAGGUAGUAGGCGGGGUAACGGCCCACCUAGCCUUCGAUCAUUAGGGGUUCUGAGAGGAAGGUCCCCCANACUGGAACUGAGACACGGUCCAGACUCCUACGGGAGGCAGCAGUGAGGAAUAUUGGUCAAUGGGGCGAGAGCCUGAACCAGCCAAGUAGCGUGAAGGAGACUGCCCUAUGGGUUGUAAACUUCUUUUGUUCGGGAAUAAAGUGCAGUAUGUAUACUGUUUUGUAUGUACCGUUCGAAUAAGCAUCGGCUAAUUCCGUGCCAGCAGCC
rnacentral:rRNA from 1 species